UGACCGUGGGAAGGUAGGGCAAUAACGACCCUCCUAAUUGGGGGACAGAAGGAAUGAACCAAUCAAAAAGAUUCUGUCUUAUAUUUACAACAUGAAAUUUGUUUAUAGGUGAAAAACCCUAUAUUAAAUUAAAGACAAGAAGACCUAUAAGCUUUUUUAAAACAUAAUAAACUAAUUAGAUAUAAUUUAGUUGGGGCGACCCAAGAAUUAAACCUCUUUAUACGAAAUAAUAAUUCCCUAAAUAUAUCCAAACACACUCAGCAAGCUACUGUAGGGAUAACGGCUAAUAUUUUCCGAGAGCACGAAUCAACGAAAAUGCUUGGACCUCCAUGUUGGCUUAGGGAAUCUCCCUCAUGCAGAAGUGAGAUCAGAAGGUUUGUUCAACCAUUAAUCCCCUACGGUG
rnacentral:rRNA from 1 species